rnacentral:tRNA from 1 species
GGAGAGUAGAGCUCAAGCAGUAGAGCACAUGCUUGGCAUGCAGCACGUCCUGGGUUCAAUCCCCAGUACCUCCA